CAGUAGCCACGGUAAUACCAGCAGCCCAAGUGGUGGUCGCGAUUGUUGGGCCUAAAGCGCUCGUAGCCGGGCCGGUAAGUCCCUUGUGAAAUCGGACGGCCUAACCGUUCGGCGUGCAAGGGAUACUGUCGGUCUUGAGGCCGGGAGACGUCCGAGGUACUCCGGGGGUAGCGGUGAAAUGUUCUGAUCCUCGGGGGACCACCGGUGGCGAAGGCGUUCGACGAGAACGGGCCUGACGGUGAGGGGCGAAGGCUAGGGGAGCAAACGGGAUUAGAUACCCCGGUAGUCCCUGUCUCUUAUA
rnacentral:rRNA from 1 species